ACGCGUAGCCGCCUCAGGCCACUUCCGCCGCCUCCCAGUGCGCAAGCGCAGCCUCCCCCUCUCCCGGCUCACCGAGGGAGGGUCGCUAGCCUGUUCACGCGGUCCACCCCCUCACGCCGUCGCAGUCCAAUCAGUGUGAAUCGGACAACACUAAGUCCCGCCUCCCAGGCUUUCUCGUCGCUUCAUUCGCUAGCGUCAAAAUUGAGAAAGAAGAGAGUACAAGUAGGGGCCAGCAGAGGGAGAAGGAAAAGCAAGCUCCCCACUGAGCAAGAAGCCCUUUGUGGGACUUGAUCCCAGGACCCCAGGAUCAUGACCUGAGCCAAAAGCAGAUACUAAACUGACUGAGCCACCCAGGCACCCAAGGUGAUGAAAACGUUCUGGAAUUAGUGAUGGUUGCACACCCUUAUGAAUAUACUAAAAAAUAUUGAAAUGUAUCCUUUAGAAUUUUAUGGCUCCUAACUGGGCGUGGUGCUCCCACACAGGCGAACUCACCACCCUAAGCUGAAGAGCUGAGCUGAGAUCAAGCUUCAGAUGCUCAACCCACUGAGCCUCCCAGACACCCCUUGGCGUGUGUCAUUUAUCCACUGAUUCAUUUAAAACAAAUAUCAUUUAUGGCUGUCUGGUGGGCAGUGUGAAGCCCUGAGGAAUCCAGAGUUUUGCUCCUUGAAAGACCCUGUCGAGCCCAGUCCAGGACCACCUUAGGCUUGGACUGAUGCACUCUGGUGACUGUGGCAGAAGCUGGUGGUGGCCCAUGUCCCCCAGCCCCUCUGAGACAACCUGCAGCUGCCAUGGACGGUUCCCAACAUGCUGAUGGCAUCCCCCCUCUAUGUUCUCAAACCUAAUUCUUUAUCACUCUCAAGUUUUCUGAAAUCAAUUAUUAACAGUCUUUGUUCCCAUGUAUGUCAUUGCUCUGUGUGUCCACUAUGUCUUGGCAGCCAUCCUAGCAAGGGGAUAGUUGAGGAGGUGGGGGAAGUAGAAGUGUACUGGGGCUAGAUUUUUACCCUAGAUUGUGUGUGUGUGUGUGUGUGUGUGUGUGCGUGUGUGUGUAUGAGCAUGCACACGUGUGUGUUUACGCAUGUGUGUAUGUAUGUGUGUGUGUGCAUGUUUAAAUCUACUCUUCCAGGAUGCCUGAGUGGCUCCCUUGGUUGGACAACUGCCAUCAGCUCAGGUCAUGAUCCCGGAGUCCCGGGAUCGAGUCCCGCAUCAGGCUCCCAGCUCCAUGGGGAGUCUGCUUCUCCCUCUGACCUUCUCCUUGCUCAUGCUUUCUCUCACUGUCUCUCUCUCAAAUAAAUAAAUAAAAUCUUAAAAAAAUAAA